GACGUAGGAGGCGAGCGUUGUCCGGAUUCAUUGGGCGUAAAGAGCACGCAGGCGGUUUGGCAAGUCGGAUGUGAAAACCCGAAGCUCAACUUCGGGCCUGCAUCCGAAACUGCCCGACUAGAGGUAGGUAGGGGAGAUCGGAAUUCCGUGGUGUAGCGGUGAAAUGCGCAGAUAUCAGGAAGAACACCCGUGGCGAAGGCGGCUCUCUGGGACGGUACUGACGGCUGAGACGCGAAAGCGUGGGAGCGAACAGGAUUAGAUACCCGGA
rnacentral:rRNA from 1 species